GAUGAACGCUGGCGGCGUGCCUAAUACAUGCAAGUCGAGCGAACAGACGAGGAGCUUGCUCCUUUGACGUUAGCGGCGGACGGGUGAGUAACACGUGGGUAACCUACCUAUAGGACUGGGUUAACUUCGGGAAACCUGAUCUAACACCGGCUAAUAUUUCGAACCGCAUGGUUCGAUAGUGAAAGAUGGCUUUGCUAUCACUUAUUGAUGGUCCUGCGCCGUAUUAGCUAGUUGGUAAGGUAACGGCUUACCAAGGCAACGAUACGUAGCCGACCUGAGAGGGUGAUCGGCCACACUGGAACUGAGACACGGUCCAGACUCCUACGGGAGGCAGCAGUAGGGAAUCUUCCGCAAUGGGCGAAAGCCUGACGGAGCAACGCCGCGUGAGUGAUGAAGGUCUUCGGAUCGUAAAACUCUGUUAGUAGGGAAGAACAAACGUGUAAGUAACUGUGCACGUCUUGACGGUACCUAAUCAGAAAGCAACGGCUAACUACGUG
rnacentral:rRNA from 1 species